GAUGAACGCUGGCGGCGCGCCUAACACAUGCAAGUCGAACGAUUAAAGCACCUUCGGGUGUGUAUAAAGUGGCGAACGGCUGAGUAACACGUGGGCAACCUGCCCCUCUCAUUGGGAUAGCCACGGGAAACCGUGGAUAAUACCGAAUACUUCGGGACUUCCGCAUGGAAGACUCGAGAAAGCUCCGGCGGAGAGGGAUGGGCCCGCGGCCUGUUAGCUUGUUGGUGGGGUAACGGCCUACCAAGGCAAUGAUGGGUAGCUGGGUUGAGAGACCGACCAGCCAGAUUGGGACUGAGACACGGCCCAGACUCCUACGGGAGGCAGCAGUGGGGAAUCUUGCACAAUGGGCGAAAGCCUGAUGCAGCGACGCCGCGUGCGGGAUGAAGGCCUUCGGGUUGUAAACCGCUUUCAGCAGGGACGAGGCGAAAGUGACGGACCUGCAGAAGAGCCCC
rnacentral:rRNA from 2 species